UGGUGGAUGAUUUGACGGGUCGCGAUUACUUCGAGAGCCAACUCUAAAUGGUCCUGAACAUGCAUAUAUAUUUGCCACAUGACGUUAAACAACUAACAAUCCUCAUUAAUCAAAACCUAUCAUGUUGAACGCAUCUAUGAUGUAUCAUAUCUUAGGUGAAAUAAAGGAUAGAACUUUUACAACAAAGUCUGAUCUAUAACUUGGCUUAAAUCUAGAAAUCGUUUGUGAGGGUCGAUUAAAAAAGAAAGAUUCCCUAUUUUGAACUUUCCAUUUCUAAAUGUAUGUAGCAACAUUCCUGUAGCGCUUGUUUAUGGAGUGUAUAUCUUCAACUUGAUACGAUAUUCCUGAGCUUGUAUUUCUUAUCAUAAUAUGUUCUGGAAAGAUUAUUCCUGCUAGCAAGAAGCUAAACAAAGAGUUCCAACCGGUGAUGUUGAAAUAAUCACCUUCAACAAUUUACGGACGCCAUAACGACUUGGUUGACCAUUAAUGAAUAUCUGUUUCACGAUGACAACCGAUACGUCUCAAUUGUCGCAACCAUAAUCCUGUUUUCUUUUCCUUGAAUGUAACCUAUCGUAUAAGUUGAGCAACACGACUGAUGCCACAUGUGUAGCAGGAUCUGCGUACCUUUCCGAAGCACUUGUGAUCACCGCAGGUUUUAGGUGGGAUUCGUAUUUUUUGUUUUCAGUUAGGAGAAUUGUAUACUGCUGUUUGUCUAUUGUUCGUUUUUCUGGUUUUGUCAUUGUGUUGUCAGUUUGUUUUCGAUUAUAUUAAUGUGUUAGAGUGCAAGUACCCUCUCUAAAAUCAAAAAUCUUUUUAAUUUAAAAAUAUAACAUUUUAAAUGACGCCAAGUCAUCUUAAAUGGCCGUAUAGUUAUGAUCACAGCUAUCAAAUAUUUACAAAGUUUGAAUUAUU
rnacentral:lncRNA from 1 species